UACGUAGGGGGCUAGCGUUGUCCGGAAUCAUUGGGCGUAAAGAGCGUGUAGGCGGCCCGGUAAGUCCGCUGUAAAAGUCAAAGGCUUAACCUUUGAAUGUCAGUGGAUACUGCCGGGCUAGAGUCCGGAAGAGGCGAGUGGAAUUCCUGGUGUAGCGGUGGAAUGCGCAGAUAUCAGGAGGAACACCAAUAGCGAAGGCAGCUCGCUGGGACGGUACUGACGCUGAGGCGCGAAAGCGUGGGGAGCGAACAGG
rnacentral:rRNA from 1 species